AUUCAACAUUUAUAUUAAUCUCACUGUGUGUGUAAUGGUAAUGUAAUCUUCACUUUUGUUAUUCAAUCAUAUUGUAAUCAAUAUAUCAAUAUGUGCACUUAAACGAUUCUGUUUCUGAGUAUUGCAGAUUUCAUGUGUUUGCAGAAGGUCACGAAGUCCUAUCAAAUUCAAUAACAGGAAACAUCUUGGGCGACCAUUGCUUGAGGAGGAUAAAACUAAGGAGGAUGAAAUGAGGAGGGCAGACUGACCUUAACUCUGGCCUGAAUACUGUAUUGAAGUGUUAUUUUUGUGUUUUCCUGUAAGCAAAGAGGAACUACUCCUUUAAUGUUUAAUGUUUUGCAUGUUCCCCCUCCCGCUCUGAGAGGAGUAGUUCCCAGUGUAACUAGGGGUCCUAAUUUUCAAUAAAAGGCGUGGAGAAACGAGAGAAGGCUUUAGAGAGUAUUGGGGUGAAUAACAGCUAGUUUCAUGUAACUAGAGUUCUUCUCUCGGUUACUCCCUCCACGCGUGUAAAAGAUAUUAAUCUCUUGUCUUCUCUCUUGUUGAAUAUUGAGUAUAGGUAAAGGUGAACCUAUCAACUUGGUCCUAUCGAGCCGGAAACCAAUACACCUGAGGACUCCAGCGGAGUGGUAGACCCAGGAAAGACUGUGCACAGCUUUGAAGACCUUUUCCGGGACUGGCUCUAUGGCUUGGUUGGGGUCUGAUGGUUGACGGGUUACCGAGAGAGAGAGACAACAGACAACAGUAAUCCUGAUCUCCCCUCCUCCUGCAGUCAGGUAUAUCUUGUGGCCUGUGGCAGCAGGGCGGGGAAGGCAGUACCAGCAGAGAGAGGAGAAGAUACUAUGUUGUGAUUAUUUUACAAAAGAAAGUCAGCCACGGAGAAAAUGAUUUUAUUUGGUCUUUAAAAUAAAUGGAUAAAUGAAGUUCCUGGAUCUCCACGAGUUCUUAUUUUUUUACGUGAGUUACAAACCUCCUCACAAAACAUUCAUUUAUUUGUGUUGUGUUACCAUUAUAUUUUCUUUUUCUCUCAUGUUUUUGUAACUCUAAAUGAAUAAAUCAUUCAAUCAAGUAUCAAAAUCUGACUUUAAAUCAGGAUGAAGUGAACAGAGCUGCAGACCAACACUGUGUCCUUUUAAAUAUUACACUUUAAGAUGCUUUUUAGUAUUACUUUGAAGUGACCAUUAAAUUAUAAAACAAAA